UCAAACUGUCGCGUACUAUACUUCAUACAAACGCGUCAGUAUGACAUUACGCAGUGCGUUUGUGCGCACCGAACAACCUGGUUCACUAUAUUACAACAGUAUCGCAGUUCUGCGUACGUACGUUGCGUGUAUGCUUUGCGUUCAUACGUACAAGGAAUCCCUACUUCUUUACGGCCAAAAUUGAUACUCAAUCUAUCUGUAACCUGUCGAUAAGUUACUUAGCAACGUUGUUAUUUAUUUAAAAAAAAACUGU